rnacentral:rRNA from 1 species
GAUCUUGGCUCAGGAUGAACGCUAGCUACAGGCUUAACACAUGCAAGUCGAGGGGAAACGACAUCGAAAGCUUGCUUUUGAUGGGCGUCGACCGGCGCACGGGUGAGUAACGCGUAUCCAACCCGCCUACCACUUGGGGAUAACCUUGCGAAAGUAAGACUAAUGCCCAAUGAUAUCCCACGAAGGCAUCCGAAUGGGAUUAAAGAUUUAUCGGUGAUGGAUGGGGAUGCGUCUGAUUAG